AAACAAUGACAAAACAUCUACCUGUCUAUACACAGACAGUAAACAUCCCCGUAACAACAUUGAACAUGCAGACGGGGGAUUGAAAGUGAAAGCAUGGCGAUGUGGGGACGUGUGGUGUGUUUUUUAGUGCUAUGGCAGGUGCUUGCUCUGAGCCGGGGGAAUACCCGGGAUCUACUGGACGACAUGUUGACGGACGGGGAGGCCGGGAAUGUGGAGGGGAUGAUAGAUAAGGUUGGGGACAUGCUGGGGGAACUCGUGGAUUCCCUCGACUCCAUCAACAGUCCGUGCUCAUUCAAGUGUCCGAACGGCAUAAAACCAAAGGCGCGUGAAAACCACAUCAAGUCCAGCAACGGACGUACUGCGCGUCAACUCGGGAAAAUCCACACUCAUCCACGGGAAGAAGUCGGUAAACGCAAAGCCUAUUCCGGGGACUGAGAACGAAAAUACGGAGAAUUUUUCCAAGACUAAAGACGUACCUAAAUCAGAUACUGUCCUAAAGGCCACCAAGCUUAAGGCGAAAAACCGGCACCAACACGAGGACCUGUGACAUCCGGUCGAUACGGUACACGUACAAAUAAUCAAGUACUUCAACAUGUGAAUUCGUGUUACUGGUUUGGGCCGUCAGAUUGCCCAGUUCAGACAGAUAAUACAUUUGAUACUGCGAGAUUUUAACGUUCUUCCGUCCAUGCCAGGUGCGCAGGAUUUUUGUGUAGAUGUAUACACACAACUGUUAUCUUCCUGUUUUACAGUAUUGUAGAACAGAGCUCGGUAUUUUUGUAGAAACUAAAAUGUCUUUAAAGAGAUAUUGUUAUGAACUUUUAUAUUCGUUGAAUUUUAUCCCUUUUUGAACGAUUGUACAUUAUAUUGAUAUCAGUGAAAUACGCAAUUUUAUAUAUAGUAUUUGUUAUUCUAGAUUGUAUGCAUAGCAUCUUUAUAUUUUGUUAAUUUUUCAUAUUUGGUCAUUUUCUGUAUGUAUUGAUAUGAUAAUAGAUAUAUUAUCCUCUAUAUUCAUAUGUACACUGGUUCGUGCACACUUUUGUAAAUCAAUCGUAUAUAAUUUUUUAUGUUCUGUGUAUAACAUACAUGUACAUCAGAUAAAUGAUGUAACUGUU
rnacentral:misc_RNA from 1 species